rnacentral:misc_RNA from 1 species
GCAAACUUGGUCAUUUAGAGGAAGUAAAAGUCGUAACAAGGUCUCCGUUGGUGAACCAGCGGAGGGAUCAUUACCGAGUUUACAACUCCCAAACCCCAAUGUGAACCUCUACCUAAUCGUUGCCUCGGCGGGAUCGCCCCGCGGCGCCCCCUCCAGGGCGUCCGGAUCACACGGCGCCCGCCGCAGGACCCCCCAAACUCUCUUGCAUCUCCGGCGUCGUUUUCUUCUGAGUGGACCUUUUUCCUCGCGAGAGCGGGGUGAAAAUGAAUCAAAACUUUCAACAACGGAUCUCUUGGCUCUGGCAUCGAUGAAGAACGCAGC